rnacentral:tRNA from 1 species
UGCGGCCGCCGGGGACGCCGUGGAGCGCGUCGCCGACGCGCUGGCGGCGUUCCUCGUGGAACGGCUGGGGGUCGCGUCCCUCGACCGCGA